GAGGGAAUAGCUCAAGUGGUAGAGUGCGGUGCUUAGCAUGCAUAAGGUCCUGGGUUCAAUCCCCAGUACCUCCU
rnacentral:tRNA from 1 species